UCUUCUGAGCUGGAAGCUGCAGCUCCAGAGUCUUUACGGACAGAUGAGUAAUUCAGUUUAUGCAAACCGCACGGAGCUCUAUGAAGAUAUGUACAUUAAUAAAGAUGCAACAGCAAAGCAAGUGACUAGAGGCAAUAAAGGAACUUCAGAAACAAAACAACUCAGGACGCCGAUGUUACAGACUGGCUGUGGUGUGUCUGCUGGUGCUGGUUGUUCUUAUGCUGGCUGCCAUUGCAAUACUGUGGGUCAUGCUGACUACAGAGAGAGACCAGAUACAGACCAGUUACAACAACAUGACUACUCAGAGAGACCAGUUAGAGACCAGUUACAACAACCUGACUGCUGAGAAAAAACAGUUAGAGAUCAGGUACAAAAAAUGUCUGAAGAAAGAGACCAGUUUCAGAGGAAGACUGAUGAACUCCAGAUGACUAUUUCUCAACUGAUGAAAGAUAUUAACACACCAGGAUGGAGAUAUUUUAGUUUACUUCAUCUCUACUGAGAAGAAAAGCUGGAGUGAGGGCAGACGUGACUGCAUUGAAAGAGGAGCAGACCUGGUGAUCAUAAACAGCAGAGAUGAACAGGACUUUGUUAAAGUGUGGAGGAGAGAUGAAGGUGCCUGAAUUGGUGCGAAUGUCAGUGACAGUAAAGGGGUCUGGAAAUGGGUGGAUAAUACAGCAGUGACCAGUGGGUAAGAGAUCACUGACCCUGCUAGUUCAUGUUUCAAGAACACUGUGCAGGUCUGUUUAUUGCUAACCCUCACAAUGUGAAUUCCAUCAACCAGUAUUUAAUUCAAUUUUUUAACUCAUUGACCCCACCUUUCAUUUCCAAACCACAAGAACAAAACCAUGCCCCUAAAAUCUCCAAUUCAGUUUAAUUAGAGGUAGCGUUACCAAGGAUUAUUAGGACAUCACUGUUGGGUGAUGUGGUAGGCUGUUUAUUAAGGACAUUGCAUUACAUUAUUUGUUUAGAUGUUACACAAAUCUGAUGUUGUUAGCAACAAGGCAAUGGGCUAGUUUACAGAACAUCGGGGAUGUUAAGCAUCAGCAGAAGGCUACAGCCCUGCUCUCUUGCUGUCAGAUGUGCUUUUAUUGCACUUCUUAAUUUAACUUUUUCCUUAUUCAGAUUAAUUUAUGUCUAGUCAUCUUACCCAAAUUCCCAGAUUUUAUUGUAGCAUUGUUGGGGAUGAAUCUGAGAUUUCAGUACAUUUACAUAAUACAACUGAUGUCUUUAGAUUAACUUUUUUAAUGCAAACUGAUUUUUAGGCUUCAUGUAAACACAGUUAAUGAUUUUUUUUGCUGUUUGAUUUGUUUGAAAGCCUUCAUGAAUCACUGGAUACAUUCACUAGUUCUGUCCUUUCAGGUUCUGGAGCCCUAGGAAACCCAGCAAGAAUGUUCAUGGGUACUGUGCUGUAUCUGGCUAUAGGUCUGAACUGGUACCAAAUUGGGUUGAUAUUUCCUGUAGUUACAAGAAUAUCUGGAUCUGUGAGAAGAAAAUUAACUGCUGAAAUGUUGUAUAUGAACAUUUUUAGUUUGAUUUGACUGAUAUAGUGGUAGAGAGAGAGAAUAAAACAAAUUACCCUGCUAGAAAAUUGCAGUGAAAUGUAACAUGGUCAUGGCUGUUGUGUUUUUGACUUUUGCUUUCAUUUUGGUGAUUGGCCAUUGUCCUGAAUGUCCAUGUUGUGGCCAAAGGCGGUUUUACUCAUAUUAACCCAAGGGGGUGAAUGCUUAUGCAACUAAAAAUUCUUCUUUUAUAUAACCAAAAUUUCUUCUUUCAUGCACCCAAAAAUGUCUUUUUUUUUUAACUUUUGUUUCCAAUAA